rnacentral:rRNA from 1 species
CGAGUUUGAUCAUGGCUCAGGAUGAACGCUGGCGGUAUGCCUAACACAUGCAAGUCGAACGAGAGUUUUUAACUCAAGUGGCGGACGGGUGAGUAACACGUGAGAAUCUACCCUUAGGAGGGGGACAACAGUUGGAAACGACUGCUAAUACCCCAUAUGCUUUCGAGUGAAAUGAUUUUUCGCCUAAGGAAGAGCUCGCGGCUGAUUAGCUAGUUGGUAAGGUAAAGGCUUACCAAGGCGACGAUCAGUAUCUGGUUUGAGAGGACGACCAGACACACUGGAACUGAGACACGGUCCAGGGAACUCUAAAAAGACUGCCGGUUAUAAACCGGAGGAAGGCGGGGAUGACGUCAAGUCAGCAUGCCCCUUACACCCUGGGCUACACACGUGCUACAUUGGGCGAGACAAUGAGAUGCUAAUCUGCGAAGAGGCGCUAAUCUAUAAACUCGUUCUAAGUUCGGAUUGUAGGCUGCAACUCGCCUGCAUGAAGAUGGAAUCGCUAGUAAUCGCUGGUCAGCAUACAGCGGUGAAUCCGUUCCCGGGCCUUGUACACACCGCCCGUCACACCAUGGGAGCUGGUUAUACCCGAAGUCGUUACUCUAACCGUUUGGAGGAGGACGCCUAAGGUAGAAUUAGUGACUAGGGUGAAGUCGUAACAAGGUAACCGUACUGGAAGGUGCGGCUGGAUCACCUCCUU